GUCGAAAUACAGGCAGAUGAACUACCACACUGCAUAAGGCGGCUCCUCGCCACCAUACUGCCACCGGCGGUCGGCCGGAAGAUCGCACUAGACGGCUUAUACCGACUCCCACCUACUCCCGCCGCACAAACCAGGGAUGUCAUUCUGCGCUGUGCCACCUCCCAGGACUGGGACCACAUUAUGGCUGCCACCUGAGGCAAAACCCCUCUUACCUUCAAAAAAGGCCAAUUAUCAUUUUUACAGGACUUAACUUGAGCCACAUUACAAUGGCGCAGGUCACUGAACCAACUCACAAGCCACCUACGCACACCUUGAAUUCCGUACCGCUGGGGAGCAAUGAGAACCCUGUCAAUCACCCACAAGAUAUCCUCAGAUACUGAGAUACCUGCACUUCUGGACAAAAUGGGACUACCGGACUUACCAACAAUCCUCAACGGGCACAACCUAGGGUAUGGAACCCGGACACCACAGCACCAUUCAUACCAAGACAGACCACCUCUGCAAGCCCAAUGAACUGACCGGGAUCGGCUAAGCCCACAAUCUGGGCCAUACCCAGGGAUCCUAAAUGACUGGAUGGCACUGACGGCAACCAAAGAAAGUGCACUCUAAUUUUUCCUAUUGUUUCUCUCUUUUCUUUCUUUUCCUUUAUCAUACUGUAUUACCUGUUAUGAC